rnacentral:lncRNA from 1 species
GGGGCGGGAAUCAACAGAAGUCUAGCUAGUCGGAUCAGUCUGUGGAGUGAACAAAGUCAAAGCCCAUGUCAACAGCGGUUCGACUGAUUUUUAACCUCUUGGACAAGUCAACUUGGUUUCAAAGGGUUGGACCCUUGGGACAUGGACAUCCAGGCAGUGGGUGCCUCUGGAGGCAGGUCAUGGGCAUGAAAAGAUAGAUGGACAUUUAAGAUCCAUGGAGAGCAUCAUUGGUGCUGUUACACAAUGCAAGAAGAGAAAGCUUCAGUUUCUCAAGGACAAUGUUAAGUCGGUUCAUCAGCCAGCUUGACAUCCCAAACUCACCAUCACCCAGCAAGACUCAAGCUCUGAGCUGCACUGCAGACGAGCCAGGGGUGAGGUGCCCUAAUCUGGACUCUUCAGGCAUGGCUCCGCGCUGCAGGUUGAAUCCAGUUGUUGACUCAGGAUGGUUCCAGGUUGCAGCUCCCCGGUCCGUGUGUUUUCCAUGUGACAAGAACUUCACGGAGAAAGAGAAAAUUGGCAGCCCAGUUUCUGAAUUCACCACCAGGAUAAAGCCCGAGAUCCUUGGCUUGGAUCUCCUUGUGAUGGAUGGAAGGCAGAAUGCAUGAUGUCCUAACACUGAUAUUAAUUUGGGGGAGUCAGGUUCUGAUUUACCAGGGUCUUGUGAACGAGAAUUGGUCAUUGAAAGCCUUAAUGUUUUUGUUUUAUUUUGUCUUUUAAUCUCCAUCCAGGCUUGUGAUUGAAAAAUGCUUUCAGGACCCUUGCUUUUCUGGCCAGCAAAAAACUUACAAAAACGAUUCUCAUGUGGGGAACACACAAGGAAAAAAUGGAUGUGUUUUCUUCAACACCUGUUUUCAUUAAGUAAGGGGAAGGAAACGAAAGAACUUUUUAAUGCUUAUCAAGUAAGUGCCAGAAGCUUACAUAUGUUAUCCCACUUUAUCUUUCAACUCAGAGAGGUGUAGAUACUGUGGUCCUUGUUUGGGACACCCUCUCUAAGAUUUUAAUGAAAUAAGAUUUAUCUUUUAGAAUUAAACUGUUAAUGAAUUUUACAGGACUCAAGUAGAAAUUAAAAGUUACAAGAAAAAGAGAGAAUAGUGUUUAGAUCAGCACAACAUGCAAUCAUGUUCAUGUUAAUUGAUGUUCUGACUAAAUAACAGUGUCCUGGGAUAAAGGUACAGAUCAGCCACAGAAGUUCAGACAAAAGAGGGACCCAGAGAUAAACAAGAGCUGUCAGGGGAAAAGGAGAAACUCGACCAAUGAAUCGGGAGGAAUCUUGGUUCGUUGCCAGGUUCUCCAUUUUGUGGAAAUGUACACCUGAGGCUAUAUUAACUCGAUUCCAUCAAACACCCAACCAGCUUCCCUUUUUCUGAUUUCAUGCUCAACAAACAAACCCCUGGUUGUAAUUUGACUUCCACGUGGGUUUACCUACAGGAAAAGAAAGUUGCUGACCAAGCAGCUGCGAGGAUUCUGGUCCAAGUCUUAUUUAUCUUGGGAGAUUAAUAAAAUGGCUUUCUGAUUUUAUAUGUUAGUCUUGUGAUUGGUUACUAUAAAUAGAUCCUCCUGGCAUAAUCAGGUUUCUGAAUCUACCAAAGAGAGACCCACAUCGUGGAUGGGAGAGUAUUUGUCAGGCAGUUCAUGCCAAGUUGUAAGAUCUCACUGGAAUUAACCACUCUACCUGACACAUAUUACUUCAGCCAGGUGAUAAGACUUGGCGUCAAUAUUGAUACUAUGUAGGCUUUUGACAGUGUGAUGGAAUUGCACUUUAUCUCUGUGGUCUUCCUUCCAAAUAGCUAAAAUCUCUGCCUAAUCAUGAGGAAAAGAUCAAACAUUCUACAGAAUACCUAACCCAAACUCACUGAACUCUCAGGGUUGUCAAAAACAAUUAAUAUCUUGAGAAGCUAUCACAGCCAAGAGGACCUAAGACAACACACAACUGAAUGCAAUGUGAUAUUUUGGGUGCCUACAUGAAAUUGUGGAACAGAAAAAGAAUGUUAACUAAAAACCAAAGAAAUCUGCAUAAAAUAUGUGUUUUAACAUCAAAGUAUUGACAUUGGUUCACUAACUGUAACAAAUGUACCACAUCUUUAUGGUGGCCCAAGAAAUCUGUUUAGAUUAUGCUGCAUUUAGGAAAAAAGUACUUCUUAUAGACCAUAUGUCCUAUUAAAAAAAUUGUGUUGGAAGUUGUGUGUAAAUCUUCAGCCUUAUUAUAGUUAAGAAAACCAUAUGAAGAGUAAAGAAGGCUUACCUAGACCUCACAAGAGAGGAGAGGCUUUGAACAGAAAAGAACUUGAAAGGUCAAAGCUCACCCUGAAUUUGUCUGAUAUGUUUUGGAGACUUGUAACUGAAUUGCUUGGAUGAAACAAUCUGUGAUGUGAUUCUCUGCUUAGUAACUCAGGCGUUUGGGAAAGACAUCGCUGUGGGUUAGUGUGACAUGCUGUUUGCCUGGAGGAGGAAGGUGAUGAAAUCUAAGCUAAGAUCAAUGCUUGUGGACUACAGAUGUGGUUUUCUGAAAGGCAAGUAGAGACUAUUUAAAAUAAGAAUAAAAGAAUAUACUUCUCUCAGAGAGAAGGAAAGGAGGCUCUCAAGAUAGAGAACAAGAUUGUGAACUGAAAGAUACUUCCUAAAGGAUACGGCAAAGACCUCCUCUUCAUCACCCAUCCACCCAUCCAUCCCUCUAACCCAUACAUCCAUCCACUCAUCCAUCCACCCAUCCACCCGCCCAUCCAUCCACCCAUACACCCAUCCAUCCAUCCACCUAUUCAACUGUCUUCUCUUCAUUCAUUGUCUUAUCUGGGGCUCUGGGCACAAUCCUAUUUCAUAUUCCACUCUAAGUUAUUGUUUCCUCUGUUGGAUAAGAAUAGUUAUUCCCAAUGCUGUCAUCAUAUCUGCUAUAAGAUUUGUAUGGUUGGGCUGGAGGAAUUAAGAAACACAAGAGGAAAGGGAAGUAGCACUCCACAUUUUCCAAUCCCCUGAUGCCAGCAUAGCAGCAGCAGAACCACCUGAAGGAGGGUGACAGUCUCAGAGUUUCUGGUACCAGCUGGAAGUGCAGUGAGAGUUGUCCAAGAGGCAGCAGAAAGCAGCGGAGAGGAAUAUGCAACCCAGAGAAGCAGCUGCCCGUUGGAGCAAGAAACCGUUUUAAGACAAAUCCCCCUCUCCCAAAAUAUGGAGGAAGGUAAGCCCAGUACUUGGGUUACACAUGGAUUAUGUCAGAUAAUAUAUAUUCUGCACAUAGUAAGCACUGGAUAUAUGGUAGCUAUUAAAAUAAUAAUAAUAAAUCUAAACGAAUUCCACCUGUG